rnacentral:rRNA from 1 species
UACGCGCGCUCGCCGCCGCGCUCGGGUGCUGGGCGUGGUGGCUUCGCGAGGCGGGGAGGCUGGUGGUGGUUUGAUGGUCACGGGCGGAGGAGGAGGGAGCGGUACGGCCGGGGAGCGGAGCGGGUGGAGGCGGCGGAUGAGAGGGAGGUGAGGGGUGGAGGGGUGGGUGAGCGGGGGUCGGGGCGGGCGGGGGAGGCGGGUAGGAAGGUGGAGGGGGCGCGGUACCGGCCGCGGCGUGUCCGUCCAUUCGAGCGCUUGGCCUGACUUUGUCUUUGAAGGAGAGACGAGGUAAACCCCUGUCGCUUACUACGCCGCCACGCACACGCACCCCCCACCCGCGUCCACGCCGCUGCCCCAGCCGCCUCAUGCUCCUCCACGACCCCACGGACCGCAGCGACUAGUUCGUCUUCCACGCGCGCCUGUGGCCGUUGGCGCCGUUAGUCACCCUCGAGUACCGGUUCAUGGACGUCUAUGACCUUGACCUCCUCGGGUAGUGCGCCGACUUCCACCAAGUGCAGCGGCCCUGGUUUCCCUUCCCAAGUUGUACGUGUAAACGACUCAGUUAAGAAGCUAGUACACCAAAGGCGUGACCUGAAAAGUGGAGAGGUGUGAACUAACUACAGGCACUCGCCAAAGCCGAACUACCCGACCUGUAAAGUCUUCUUUUCAAAUAAUCCAUAAAGACCACCACGACCUUGUUUAACUUCCAGUUUUGACCACUACUAUAAGGUUACGGUCGGAUGAAAUCCAAGGAACGCGACGAUCGUAAGUUCUAAAAAAGUCUACUCGUCCACCUACAUCGACACGACCUCCAGCCAAACCCUCCCUUUAUACUACGUUGUUUACACCAUUUUCGUGGACAUCAAACACCCUAUAGAAGGGAGCCUAUGCUAGUGUACCUUUAAGAACCUUUAAGUGAACAUCUUUAACGACCCCUCUUUCGACCUUAUAACUUCUUCCCUCAAGGUCGGAUAUGUCAAGGUGUUGGUCUCCUCCGUUACAGACAUGACUUCGUCUCUCGAAGACUUAACCCACAAAGAUAGGCUUAUCAAGGUGGAAACCUGGGUGCCGUUAAUCUUCUAGUUGGAGAACCCGACGUACCACUUGUGGUCAUGUACUUACGUCCGGAACGUCAACGUAACCGAUUAUGGACCGAACUCUCCGUUCCUGUAAACCUGUCUUAUGUACAGUUUCUAGUACCGUGGAAUGGUCUAGUCAAGUAGUUUCCCGAUAGCUAACGAACAAACGUUCCGGCUCGUGUCUAACAGGGUCUAGAUGUUCACUCGAGUCUUACAUUCCUACGGUCAAUAGGGAAUCAAAAGAUAAACCUACCCCGUGUAUCGGGUCUUUCAUACCUUUAUACGCGUUUCACCAAAAGGGUACAAUGCUUUUUCCUACGUCGUGUUGGUCCAGGAAACCUCGUCGGAGCAUCACCAUAGUUAAGAUUCUUCUAAGAGGACAAGUUAACGUACAGUCAUUCUCUAGGAGUCUAUAACGAAGGUGCAGAAGAUCUAUGUACACGAGUCUUUCCGGAGGCGAAACUAGUCCGGAAUAAACACGGUUUAGUUAGCGUUAUGUUGUUCGAACCAAGUGUACGUAGUGGUGGAGGUCCCUCUCUCGUUUAACUAAACAGUACCGUCAACAGUGAGGUUUGUCAGACCCUUCUGAACGAAGCGCCGUUCUUUCCAGAUUUACCGUGUUCAAGAUCACCCCGAUCAAAUCAAAAACUUAGAGAAGGUAGUCGUUAAUUCACCGAUUCCCUUUGAAGAGUUGUUUUGGUUAGAUGAAGUACGGUCCAGAACCAAUGACCGAGGGACGUAGAGUAACCGCUACAGAAUUCUAACUAAUUCUGGACUAAGAGGAACACAGAAGAACCACUACAGAGCUCUAAAGAGUUCAUUUAAACCAACCUUAUGUUCCAAGUCUAACUUCACAGACAAAUGAUCUGGUGGUAUGUGGCCUCGGAUAACAAUAAAUACUAACCGUAGGUGUUAUGUUGAUGGACCGACUUCUUACCCUCUGAACUUCCGGAAAAAUAAGACUGCAACUGAUCCGCGUUUGUACAACAUGAUGGAGUAAAAAACAAAGACGGAUACACCCGCGAACAUGUUGUGACAUCGGGUAAAAACAAAUUUAUAUAAGCGAGACGAAACCUCACAUGUUUGUCGCUUGAUAUAAUACUAUGCUUAUUGGUACGUUUAAAAGUUUGAACCUUAUUG